rnacentral:lncRNA from 1 species
AUGGCAUUCAUGAUCUAUUGCCGGGCGGUUCUUUUCGAUACCAUCAACAGCAAAAAGAGACACAAAAAGGAGCGCGCGUUGCACGCGAGCAGUAUCUCUGACUGGCUGAAGCAAGAAGCUCUGCAAUGCCCGAUCUCUCUCGAUCUCAUGACCGAUCCCGUGACGAUCGCCACGGGACAGACCUACGAUCGGUCAUCGAUCAAGCGGUGGAUAAAAUCUGGCCGCCUCACUUGCCCUGUAACACGCGAGAAGCUAACAAACACUGAUUUGGUGCCCAAUUUCGCAAUUCAAAAGCUCGUGGAUGAGUUUUGUCGCGAUAAUAGAAUCCCGAUAGCAAAGCCGAACACCAAGCACCGUCGGAGUGUGGAAAAGACGGCCUCGCCCUUCAGCCCAGCUGCGGCCGGAGCAAUCAAAAUGGCCGUCGCUUUCCUAAUCGACAAGCUCGCGAAAGGAACCGUAGAAGAGAAGAAGAAGGCCACUUUCGAGAUCCGAAGGAUCUCGAAAUUUUACAUCUUCAAUAGAGCUUGCUUGGUGGAAGCCGAUGCUGUGCCGUGGCUGCUCUACCUCCUCUCGUCACCGGAUCCUUCCACGCAAGACAAUGCGGUCGCCGCUCUCUUGAAUCUCUCGAAGCACCCGAACGGUCGUAGGGCGAUCUUCGAAUCUGGAGGCCUCUGCUCAAUCACAGAUGUGAUCAAGACGGGGCUCACAAUCGAAGCUCAGCAGAACGCAGCGGCGAUCCUCUUCUACCUCUCUUCGGUCGAAGAGUACCGAAUAGAGAUCGGAGUGAUCCCCAAAGCGAUCCCGACUUUAGUAGAGCUCCUAACUCGUAAGAGAAGGCAGUUGUUACAGGGGAAAGAAGAACGCAAUCGCCGGCCUCUUCGGGCUUGUCCAAUACCCGGGAAACCACUCAAAGCUCAUCGCGGCAGGGGCUAUUCCGGUUUUCACUAGCCUUCUUUCAAGUGAUAGAGAGGAUCUCGUCGACGAUUCAAUUGCAGCCCUUGAAAAGAUAGCAGAGAGCCACGAAGGGGCAGCCGCGAUCUUGAUGCGUUCGUCUGUUCCUUUUCUCGUGGAGGUUCUCAACUCAUUGACCUCUCGGUCGGGAAAGGAGCACUGCGUGUCCCUUUUACUCGCUCUGUGUGUUAACGGCGGCAAUAAGGUUGUUAGCCUGCUAGAGAAGAUGCCUGCGCUCAUGUCUUCGUUGUAUUCGCUCGUAACGGAGGGCUCUCCUCAGGCCGGAAAGAAGGCGCGGUCGCUCCUGAAUCACAUUCAUCGGCAUCAAGAGCAGAGUAACCCUCCUCUACUGAGACCGCCGAUCGGCGAUCACGUCAUUCAUGCACAGUAAGCUAAAUAACAGCCUCCGCAGUAUUGCUAAAGCCUUUUUUUUUUUUUUUGGUUAUAAAGUGUUUCUGAUCUCUGCUCGCUUUUUACAAGAGCUGAGAUCAGGAUUAGAGUUUAUAUAUAUACAUACAUAUGUAAAUAGGAUAAUAUGAGUUGUAGAUGCAAUUGUUAUGUUGAUAUAUGUUGGUGUACGUAGUUGAGUGUACACCCAUCCUUGUGGCAUUUGUUGGUCUCAAUCAAUAAAAGGUUUUGUUGAAGUGUGAGAAUGUUGGUUGUAAAAUAUACCCUCAGUAUAAUAUACUGGCCUUAUAAAUUAUUGGAUAUAAAUGGCUAGCAGAUGCAAGUAAAAUGUCAUUGAUCUUAUAAUCAUCUUAAGCAUAGAUAAGAGACAUAAUGUCAUUGAUCUUAUAAUCAACUUAAAGCAUAGAUAAGAGACAUUAUUGACAAGCACAGAUACCAUCAUCAUCACUAAAACAGAGUUCAAUCACAAAACUAAGCGUCUAAAGAUAAGAGAGACGAAAUUUAAACCAACCAUCUAAAGAAAAAAAAAAGAGAACCAUCAUCAAUAGAGACGGCGGCAGAGAGUAAGCCCAUCCGCGAUCGAAAGCUGGGAUAGUUCAAUGCGGGGGUCAGCGGCUAGCGCCCUGUUAAGAUUUAUCAUGGUCUCCGUAUACACCAGAGCUUCUGGAGGCAGAGGCUCGUCCUCUGGCGAAGGUGCCACCGAUCCGCACCACAGGGUAUUGUCGUACGCGACGACUCCUCCCACCCUCACCAGCUGCAGAAUCCUCUCGUGGUAAUGAAUGUAGUUAUCUUUAUCGGCGUCCACAAACACAAAAUCAAAUGUCCCCUUGUUCUCCUCCUGCGCGACAAACAUUAAACUUAUCAUAUAAGUCGAAAAAUAGAGAAAGAAAGAAAGGCUUGAUAAGUACAGGCUCUUGUCUUCUCCAUUACCUUCGACACCAGUUGGUCAAGAAUAGGCAUGGCGGGGCCUUCGCGGAAGUCGAUUUUGUGGGCCACUCCAGCCUUCUGAAUCACCGGAAGGCCCAGCGAGUAGUUCUGCCGGUUGAUAUCCAAUGCCAGUAUCUAAGCACAACCGAAUUAACCCAUAACUAAGCAAGUUCAAAUAAUUUUUCUCAGAGUAGAACCAACAAAAGGGUGUAGAUUAUACAAACCUGCCCAUCAUCAGGGAGGGCGAGGGCGGUGGCGAGGAGGGAGUAGCCGGUGAAGACACCGAUCUCCAUCGCCUUCUUCGCAUUCAUCAGCUUCAGCAACAUGCUGAUGAGCUGGACCUCAUCGGGCGUCGAGGCCAUGCCACCCCUGUAAGAUGCAAAAUAUAAAAAGUUAAGCUUCUGGUUAUAACAAAGCAAGAGAGCUUCAAUUUUGAUUCUUUAAUGGUUCAAUUUUAACAUCUAGAUCUUCAAUUUUAAAGUUUUAUCUGAAGCAGUAUAGCAAGAGGACAUAUAAGAUCUAAUUGUAAAAACUGACUCAUAAGAUUUAAUUGGAACUAAAAGGAUAUGCUAUAGAACACUAUAUUAACGCUUCUUUUUUUUUCCCCUUUUGUUCUUUAUGCAAAUUGAGAUAAAAUAUAAAAUCAAAAAGCCGUUCCAUAAGAGAUUAAUGUACCAGGGGUGCUUCGCUGUGAUGCGGCGGAGCUCUUUCAUCCACGGUGCCUCGCGGGGGUACACACUUGUGUUCAAUAUGUACUGCAAAAUUUUUUUUUUUUUUUUAGUUGUAUGCAAAUAACAAGGUUACAUCAAGUGCAGUCACUUUUCUGAUUGAUUAUUAGAAACUUUUAAUGAUCAUUCUUAAACACUUCACAUGAAUAAAAAAAUAACUUAAUACCUAGACUCACUAAAUGAGUUAUAAGAAUACUUCACUUUCUAUUAUUUAAUUAGUCAAACUCUUUAUUGAACUCGAAAUUUCAAACAAUAGUCGACAUCAAUUUAAAUCUCCAUUUAAUCGGCAAAUUCCUCCUCCCUUAAACGGCCAAUAUUUUCCAUUCUUUUGAAAAAAAGAAAAAUUUCGCACCAUUUUUUAAAUUUCUAAGAUUACUUCCUAUUAACACUUGUACAAAAACACCUUUUUUUUUUUCUAGAUUUUAUUUCCUAUUAACCCAACGUAGGAAUUAACAUUAAAUUUUUCUUUAAAAAUAUAUGAAAUUUAAUGAAAUAUUCGAUUAGUGCUAAAAAUACGAAAAAGUUGUUGAAUCCAGCGACAUAACUUUACUAAAAAAAACAAAAAAAAAAAAAUCAAAACAAAAAAGAAAAGAGAUGAUGAUGAAUCUCACCGACCUGAAAGAGAGCGUGGCUUUUGAGGAGGGUUUUGUGGUCGGUCGGCGACUCUUCGUCCCUCGUCGUCUCCGUCGCGGCGGCGGCGGCGGCGGCGUCGUCAUCGUUCGCCAUUUCCCUCUUCUUCUCCUUCUUCGCCCUUUUUUUUGAUCUCUCCUCCUCCUCCUCCUUCCUCCUCCUCCUCUCUCUCUCUAAUUUUCUUUUUUUUUUUUUCUAUAUUUCUCUUGCUCUUAUAUAAUAUAUAUAAAAAUUAUUAUUCUUAGCGUUCAUACAAAGCGUAUGAACAUCGUAAACGAGGUAGAACGGGUACAAAGAGAACCGGUUUUCCGAGGCCUACUGUGUCAGAGUUCUAGAAUAGCACUUUCGUUGCCGAAUGCCUACAAAAGCAUAGAAGAAAAUCAAAAGAAAAUUUUCAAGAAUCACAUUUUGAAACGGCAUUUGUUCUGCUCUUUUACCCGACCUCUUUCUGAAAAAAAGAAUAAUUACCAUUCCAAUAUGUUAUUUUUAUUAUAUAUAAUUAAAAACUAUAAAAUUUAUUGGAAGUAUAUAUUAUUUUAAUUUAAUUACUUAUAAUUUGUUUGACUUAAAUGAUUUGAGGGCACUUUGAAUAUAAAGUUUAAGCUAUUUGCUUAUUUUUAUAAAUUUAUAAUUAUUUAAAUGGUAUAAAAUAUACUAACGCAUUUAAAUUUUUUAAAAUUAAAAAGUCGCUGAUUUAUUCAGAUCAAAUAAGUGAAAAGAUCAAACAGUAAAAUUAAGUUUGUAAAGAUUAAAUAGUGGGAUCAAAAAGAGUGAUAAUUGAGAUAAGUUCUAGACAUAUUAAAUAUGCAACGGCUUAAAUUUUAUACUAAAAUAAUUAUUAAGUGGUUUAAACUAAAUAAAUUAGAAGAUGGGACAAAACUUUAAAUUAUAAAAAAUUUAAACAGUGGGAUCAGAACGGGCCACGGUGGAAGCCGGUCUUAUUUUAUAAAUAAAUAAAUUCUAGGCUUCCAGCGUGCGUCCUUUUUUUUGUUGAGAGAAAAAGGUCACAUAAAAAUAAAUUUAUUUGAAAAUAUAAAAUAAUUAAAAUUUAAAUUUAAAAUUUUAAAUAUUAAUUAUUAAAUUUUUUUUAUCACCUGCGCUAGGAACAGUCGGUCACUGUUUAUCAUUUAAAUUUUAUAAUAAUAAUAAUAAUAAUAUACUUCAUAAAAUUUAGUGCAUCGUUAAGUUUUUACUUGUUGCUUAUAAAUUAAAUAGCUAGAUUAAAAGUACGAAGUUAAUGGCGAUUCAACGAAUUAAUAAUGAAUCAUAUACAAAUAAAAAUAUUUUUACAAGUCAUGCUCACAAGAGCCCGCGUGGUAAAGCACGACUUCGCCAAAGUUGCGAGUUACACGUUUAGUUUAACAAACGCAGGGCAGGGAAGGCCCUGUGAAAAGUAGACCCGGCAAUGGCGUAAACAUAUUUUCCAAUCAGGGAGCGUACGCGUUUGUUGAAAUGUAGCUUCUGAUCCACCGUCGGAGCAUUCGCGAGGCGAUCCGCCAAACCGGCCUGCUCCUCGAGCUCUUAGAUGAUGAUGUUCGGGACCGCGGAUCGGCCCUUCCGGAUUCUGCGGUCCUCCUCAGCUUGUCUGAGCUCCACGUCGCGCUCCAGAAGAUCCGGCACCUGAUCAACAAUUGCUCGCGGCUUUUGGUCUUGAUGCGGUCCGAAUUCGGCUCAUCGGAUCUCCGCGUCCUCGUCCGGUCGAUCGCAACCGCGAUCGACGUGCUUCCGCUCGACAACGUCAAUGCGGCGGCGGAGGUGAAGGAUUUGGUGCGGCUCCUAUCGAAGCAAGCAUGGAAUGUGGUGAUUGCGACCGAUCCGGAUGUGUUAAAUAUAAAAAUAUUUAAACACCGUUUUCUAACCGUUUAUACUUUUUAGAGUACAACGGUUUCACAGGAGGACAAUCGGGCGGCGAAGAGCAUCCGCUCGAUGAUGCAUCAGCUUAAGAACGGCGUCACACCCGCGGCGAGCGUUCUCGAGCGGGUGUUGAACCAUUUGCAGGUGAGAAGCUGGUCCGACUGCCACGAAGAAAUCGCUUUCUUGUUGCGCUUCUCGGCAGCCUGAUGGCGUUCAUGAUGUAUUGCCGGGCGGUCCUUUUCGACACCGUCAACGGCAAAAGGAGACACAAAAAGGAGCGCGCAUUGCACAGCGAGCAGUGUCUCCGACUGGCUGAAGCAAGAAGCUCUGCAAUGCCCGAUCUCUCUCGAUCUCAUGACCGAUCCCGUGACGAUCGCCACGGGACAGACCUACGAUCGGUCAUCGAUCAAGCGGUGGAUAAAAUCCGGCCGCCUCACUUGCCCUGUAACAGGCGAGAAGCUAACAAACACUGAUUUGGUCCCCAAUUUCGCAAUUCGAAAGCUCGUCGACGAGUUUUGUCGCGAUAAUAGAAUCCCGAUAGCAAAGCCGAACACCAAGCACCGUCAGAGCGUGGAAAAGACGGCCUCGCCCUUCGGCCCAGCUGCGGCCGGAGCAAUCAAAAUGGCCGUCGCUUUCCUAAUCGACAAUCUCGAGAAAGGAACCGUGGAAGAGAAGAAGAAGGCCACUUUCGAGAUCCGAUCCGAAGGGUGGUCUCGAAGUUUAACAUCUUCAAUAGAGCUUUGCUUGGUGGAAGCCGACGCUGUGCCGUGGCUACUCUGCCUCCUCUCGUCGCCGGAUCCUUCCACGCAAGAAAAUGCGGUCGCCGCUCUCUUGAAUCUCUCAAAGCACCCGAACGGUCGUAGGGCGAUCUUCGAAUCUGGCGGCGUCUGCUCGAUCACAGAUGUGAUCAAGACGGGGGCUCACGAUCGAAGCACAGCAGAACGCAGCGGCGAUCCUCUUCUACCUCUCUUCGGUCGAAGAGUACCGAAUAGAGAUCGAAGUGAUCCCCGAAGCGAUCCCGACUUUAGUAGAGCUCCUAACUCGUAAGAGAAGGCAGUUGUUACAGGGGAAAGAAGAACGCAAUCGCCGGCCUCUUCGGGCUUGUCCAAUACCCCGGAAACCACUCAAAGCUCAUCGCGGCAGGGGCUAUUCCGGUUUUCACUAGCCUUCUUUCAAGUGAUAGAGAGGAUCUCGUCGACGAUUCAAUUGCAGCCCUUGAAAAGAUAGCAGAGAGCCGCGAAGGGGCGGCCGCGAUCUUGAUGCGUUCGUCUGUUCCUUGUCUCGUGGAGGUUCUCAACUCAUUGACCUCUCGGUCGGGAAAGGAGCACUGCGUGUCCCUUUUACUCGCUCUAUGUGUUAACGGCGCCGAUAAGGUUGUUAGCCUGCUAGAGAAGAUGCCCGCGCUCGUGUCUUCGUUGUAUUCGCUCGUAACGGAGGGCUCUCCUCAGGCCGGAAAGAAGGCGCGGUCGCUCCUCAAUCACAUUCAUCGGCAUCAAGAGCAGAGUAACCCUCCUCUACUGAGACCGCCGAUCGGCGAUCACGUCAUUCAUGCACACUAAGCUAAAUAACAGCCUCCGCAGUAUUGCUAAAGCCUUUUUUCUUUUUCUUUUUUUUUUGUUAUAAAGUGUUUCUGAUCUCUGCUCGCUUUUUACAAGAGCUGAGAUCAGGAUUAGCGUUUAUAUAUAUACAUACAUAUGUAAAUAGGAUGAUGCAAUUGUUAUGUUGUUAUAUGUUGGCGUGCGUACUUGAGUGUAAAUCCAUCCUUGCGGCAUUUGUUGGUCUCAAUCAAUAAAAGGUUCUGUUGAAGUGUGAGAAUGUUGGUUGUAAAUUAUACCCUCAGUAUAAUAUUCGGGCCUUAUAAAUUAUUAUUGUAUAUAAAUGGCUAGCAGAUGCAAGUAAAAUGUCGUUGAUCUUAUAAUCAACUUAAGCAUAGAUAAGAGGCAUUAUUGACAAGCACAGAUACCAUCAUCAUCACUAAAACAGAGUUCCAUCACAAAAGUAAGAGUCUAAAGAUAAGAGAGACGAAAUUUGAACCAAACAUCUAAAGAAAAAAAAGAGAGACAUCAUCAAUAGAGACGACGGCAGAGAGUGAGCCCGUCGGCGAUCGAAAGCUGCGAUAAUUCAAUGCGGGGGUCAGCGGCUAGUGCCCUGUUAAGAUUUAUCAUGGUCUCCGUAUACACCAGAGCUUCUGGAGGCAGAGGCUCGUCCUCUGGCGAAGGUGCCACCGAUCCGCACCACAGGGUAUUGUCGUACGCGACGACUCCUCCCACCCUCACCAGCUGCAGAAUCCUCUCAUGGUAAUGAAUGUAGUUUUCUUUAUCGGCGUCCACAAACACAAAAUCAAAUGUCCCCUUGUUCUCCUCCUGCGCGACAAGCAUUAAAAUUAUCAUAUAAGUCGAAAAAUAGAGAAAGAAAGAAAGGGUUGAUAUGUAGAGGCUCUUGUUUUCUCCAUUACCUUCGACACCAGUUGGUCGAGAACAGGCAUGGCGGGGCCUUCGCGGAAGUCGAUUUUGUGGGCCACUCCAGCCUUCUGAAUCACCGGAAGGCCCAGCGAGUAGUUCUGCCGGUUGAUAUCCAAUGCCAGUAUCUAAGCACAACCGAAUUAACCCAUAACUAAGCAAGUGCAAAUAAGUUUUUGCCGAGUAGAACCAACAAAAGGUUCUUUAACAGCUUAAAGCUUUUAGAGUACAACGAUUGUUUCACAUGAUAUAUUUAAAACUCCCUAAACAUUUGGGCUCGAGACUUUUUAGUCGGCCCAUGACGUGAGCUUAAAUUAAAUGGGAGGAAAUUAAUAUGUUAGGAGCAUGGCGUGACUCGAACUCAGAACCUUCUGUUCAGAUAUCAUGUGAAACAACCGCUAUACUCUAAAAGCUUACGCGGUUAAAAAAUGAUAUUUAAAUAUUUUUAUAUUUAUUAUUUAACAAGAUUAUACAAACCUGCCCAUCAUCAGGGAGGGCAAGGGCAGUGGCGAGGAGGGAGUAGCCGGUGAAGACACCGAUCUCCAUCGUCUUCUUCGCGUUCAUCAGCUUCAGCAACAUGCCGAUGAACUGGACCUCAUCGGGCGUCGUGGCAAUGACACCCCUGUAAGAUGCAAAAUAUAAAAGCUUAAGCUUCUGGUUAUAACAAAGCAAGAGGGCUCCAAUUUCGAUUCUUUAAUGGUUCAAUUUUAACAUCUAGAUCUUCAAUUUUUAAGUUUUAUUUGAGAGGUCAUAUAAGAUCUAAUUGUAAAAACUGACUCAUAAGAUUAAAUUGGAACUAAAAGGAUAUGCUAUAGAACACUAUAUUAACGCUUCUUUUUUUUU